AAAGUUCCACAGCUACCUAGGCGUAGUGGCGCGAGAAAAGGUUCCCAUUAUCCACAAUAAUUGGAAAGACGUACCUGAAACGCUAAAGGAGAUUGUGUGGAAUGACAUUCUAGCAAAGUUUGAUAUCGCAGAAGCUACGAAGGUGAAGACGAAGGUUAUGUCAACAGUAGCGACGAGAUGGCGGCAAUUUAAGUCCACAUUGACUAGCAAAUUUGUGUUUGCUAAGACUGAAGGUCAACAAACACAGGAUGUUGUGACAAAAUAUGGACUAGAUCCUGAAGCGUGGAAACAAUUUGAAGAAACCCGCCUGACACCUAACUGGGAGGGUAUUAGGAAACGAGCACAAUCAAUUCAAAAACACAACGACUGCCCUCACGUACUUUCACGUGGGGGAUAUGAUUUGCUUGAGAAGAAAUUGUUAGACCAGAAACGAAAAAG